CGCUGCAGCCAGUGAGAGAGGAGUGGGCGUGAGAUGUGGGCGGGGACUUUGGUGAUGUCAUUUCCCCGCCCACGUCAGUCACGCUGGGGUCCUGCUCUCUUGUGCUGCUCCCAGCCCCGCCCAGCCCUCCUGAAAAGCUGUUCACUUGGCUGGCAGCGUCUGGGACUCGAUCCUGGCACUCUGUAAUCUGAAAAGGACGGAGAAUUGAAAUGUGGCUCAAAGGAGAAAACUUUUCACAAUAACAGCCUUACAGAUCAAUAGCCUUUUUGGCUGCCGGGGUCAGUGAGCUCUAUUUGACAGAUAUAAGGAGUCAGAAGAGGAAGGCAAAUAAUUAA